CUGCAGGCCAGAGGGGAGCCGGCCCGCAGCCAGGAACAGAGCAAGUACUCCUGGCGCCGAGCCCCACCAGAGACGUGUGCCGAGGGACAGCCCAACGGGGCUCUUCUCCUUUUGGAAGACGCCAUCCUGCAAUUGCUCCUGUUCUGGGACAGUUUGCACGUCCCCUCUCUGGGCUGCAGUGGUUGGCCGUCUCCGGCUGAAGUGCAGUGGCCACGGUGGGCAGUUCCAGUGGGCCGCCUCCUGCAUGUGGCCUCCGCCACUCCGCACUGCCCCCACUUCUGUUGGCCGCGAGAGGAAGGGCCUGGCCUGGCCGCUCACACGCCGAGGAGGACAGCGCUGAAGUGGGAGCCACUGCGCACCGGCCUCCGGUGGACCACGUGGCACCCAGCAGUGCCCGGGACCAGACCCCUGGACGCCUCCCGGCAGCCUGGCUCCAGUUCCGCGGGUGAACUACCUAAACUUUCUGCGCCUUCAUUCCCUUAUUUGGAAGCACUGUACGCCAACCGUACUUGAACGAUGAACUUUUUUUUAGAAGAAGCGAACAGAGGAAAACUGGUACUACUGACCUUAAAACGCCAUGAUAACUAAGAUCAUUUACGUAAAGAGCUUAGAGCGGG